rnacentral:rRNA from 1 species
UACGUAGGGGGCAAGCGUUGUCCGGAAUCAUUGGGCGUAAAGAGCGCGUAGGCGGCCCGAUAAGUCCGCUGUGAAAGUCAAGGGCUCAACCCUUGAAUGCCGGUGGAUACUGUCGGGCUAGAGUCCGGAAGAGGCGAGUGGAAUUCCUGGUGUAGCGGUGAAUGACGCAGAUAUCAGGAGGAACACCGGUGGCGAAGGCGGGUCUCUGGGCCGAAAUUGACGCUGAGGAGCGAAAGCGUGGGGAGCAAACAGG